UUAGAUGUCCUGGUGUACCCCACCCUUCUGCUGAUGGGGGAAGCAAAGGACAGGAGGAAAACAAAGGCUUGGGCCAUUAUGUCCCCUCCCAAAGUGAUAAACAGGUACCCACAGGUGUUUGGGUACUUGCUGGUGUCUUGCCCAAAUAAGGGUGAGCAAGCCCUGGUUCCACCUAAUACGGUCAGCUUUGCAAAUGCCAUUCUGAUUGGUGAAUCUCUGUGGCCAAAGGAGCCAUUACACUCAGGCAAAGAAUAUAAAUUGAGCUAAAUUGCAAGCAGUUGUGCUGCCCCUGCUUCACUGUGUGCUGCCUCUGCCUUCCUGUUCUUCGACAACAUGUUCUGCUCUGCCUCAUGCUUCAGACGAGUUUAGCCCUGAUAUUUUGCGCUUGAACUAUCUGGAAACUUAAAUGCCUCAAGUUUCCCAGGAGAAGGCAUUUAAGUGCCUCAUGGCAUGGCAAGAAGUGCCAGCGACGUGGUGCUCUCUGCACAUCUGCAAGAGAUCCUGCCUGCACCUCUGCAAGCCUCCACGCCAAGAGGAAUCAGGAUCAGAUCAGAGACUGUCUGCCUCUUUCCCAGCACCCUGGGAAGAUCUAGAAGCCUCUCAGCAGCUGAGCAAUUCCAACACUGCCACAAAGGAGCCAGGGAUUAUCUUGAAAUUUCUACUCGACCGCAAUAAAACUUCAGGGGAGGAAAAAGAUGACAACAGCAAUGACAACAAUUGACACUCAUUUCUCUUUAUUUAAAUCUGGAGAGUUAACAGCCACAAUCAAGAAUAUUCCAUGGGUGUGUGCAAGUACCCUUGUAUGGAGUGUAUGGCAUGGAAUACAUUUACCAACUCCACAAGCAGAAAUCUUAGGAAGCUGUGGCAUAAAACACUCAUAAAAAGCGUUCUUAAUUGCCUUCCAUUUCUGAAUGGCUGGAAAAGCCUGGAGUGAAGACUGCAAUCAAUCCCUAGGAAGGAAAUAUCCUAUCAGUCCUAAGUGAGAGACAGCACCUGGGGCAUCAGCUUUUUUGACAGCAUUCCAAUGUUUAGACUUAAGUGGUAGUACACCUGCAAUCAGCUUAGUGCCCUCCUCUGUCUGAAACAAACAAAUGUGCCAAAGGGAGCACUGUGCAAAUGUGGCUGAAUAUAUCAGCUGCUUUUGUAAGAGAAGGGAGAGAAACCCUACCCACCAGUAACAUUAUGAGGCGAAGAAAACAUCCUCAGAAUCCUCCAAGUACAGCAUCAAGAGAAACCUUCAACUCAUUUUUGAUGCUCAAUCUCCUGCUGCAGCAGAUGAGCAGGUUCCCUGAGAUAUGCCUAAGGAAAGUCUGGCUCCUGCAUUCACAAUUUACAGACAGGAAAGCUUCAAUGCAGCAGAAGGAUAACCAGCAUGCUACAUCAAGAGUGAAAUACAGAGGAAGAAAUAAACCCCAAGCAUCAGGUGGUGUUAACUAAUUCUCCUCUUAUUUCAAACAGGAAAAUAACCAAAAGAAAGGAGACAAAGGGAACAAGAGUGGCAAUCAGGUUUAUUGGGCUCAGGCAGUGAGACACAUAACACAACGUUAAGGCCACUCGACAUGAGGCUAAAGCAUACCAGCAGCUAAAUCUUUCCCUUUCCUCUCUCCAGCUGUAAGGAUGACAGAUUCUUAACUAAGCAUGGCAGAAAAUGGGGUUCAAGAUUACUCAAGUCCCCGAGCAUGCAGAUGGCACACCUGCCAGCCAACUAUCUACAGUCCCUCCGUGAACAUGGCAGGCUGUGAGAGGAGAGCAGGAAGAAGAGUCUGUACCCUUGCAUGAGUAGUUUAGCAGAGAGCAAAACAAAAUCAAAACAAACUUGCUGCAAGGUGAAAGUGACAUAGUUCAGAACAUCAUACCAGAUAAACCCUGAAGUUGGGACAAAUAAUGAAAUAAUCUAAUCUAACCUCCUUUAUAAUAUGCAGGCCAUAAAAUUUCACUCAGGCCAGAGGACAUCACUCUUAUCAAUUCCAGGCCUCAUCAUUUGAUGGGAUUGUAAACAAUCUUCCUCAUAUUAACUCCUUAAGAAGAGCAGUUGCCUGCAACAGCUCCAAACAGCCUCUGAUUGAAUUUACCCUCUUACAUAUACCUAAUCUUCAGCAACACUUCUCAUAUAAACAACCCCACACUUCAGCCACUGGAGAGACCUAUCAACAGCAACCAACUUCUCAAGAACAGGUACGAUGAAGUCAGCCAGUCUGAGGCAGUGUGACUGGCACAAGCACACGUGGAGGGCUGCUAUUGUUAUUCUAAGGAUAUUAUGCCACGGACACAUGCAAUACCCUCCCAGAGUGGAUGACAGAAUCCCUUCUGCAAUUUCCUACCUGGCAAAACAUAUACAAGCGAGUCUUGUCUGUGUACAGAGCACAUUACCAGUUCAACCAAGAGGCAAAAGAAGUCUCAAAGUCACCUCUGGACAUGACACCACCUUCUUUGCUACCUGUUCAUCUUUUCCCUACCCUAUCAACCCUUCCUACACGCAACACAGACGUAUCUUUACUGUAGCACACCCAGCAACUGCUGAGGUUCUCACAU